GCCUGGGUGUUCACCUGAGGCCGGAUGUGCACCUAAGGCCUGAGUUUUCACCUGGGCCUGAUGAUCACCUGGGGACUGGGUGUGUGCCUUGGGUCUUUUCCCUUUUCCUGAACAGGGCUUGCAGUUUCCAAACCAGACACAAUCUCCCAGUUGGAGAAAGAAAAAGGAUCCUAGAUGAUAGUGAGACAAAUUUCAGGAAACUCCAUCCAAAUAAGUAAAUGAGAAUGAGGACAGGAUUCAUUGCAUGGUGGCAUGUGCCUGCAGUCCCAGCUACUCAGGAGGCUGAGGUGGGAGGAUCGCUUGAACUCAGGAGUUGAAGGCUGCAGUGGGUGAGGAUCACAACACUGAAUUCCAGCUUAGGUGACAGAAUGAGACCCUGUCUCUCUAAAAAACAAGCAAGCAAACAAACCAAAAACCACAAACAAACCAGAUCCCUCUUAGCAGAAUACUUCCAUGAGGUAAUAAAAGAAAGAAGAAAGUGAAACGAACAAACAAUUUUACUCAAGAAACUAGUGAGAAAUCAAAGAAAUGUCCAAGAAGUAGGAUACAAGAAUUAAUCAAAACAGAUUAACAGUGGAAUAAAUAAAUGAAUCCAACUGGUUCUUUGUCAUGGAAUGUGGAAAGACAUACUCUAUUCUUCUGGAUAGGAAGAUGAAAUAUCAUAAUCAUAUCAAUGCAAGUUUUAUGCAUGCUCAAACAUGUAUAAACUAAGAAAAAAUCUGAAAGGACAGACAGUAAAAUGUUUGCAGUUUUUUUCCUCCAAGUGGUAAGAUUAAAGGUAAUACUUUUCUUU